ensembl:lncRNA
UAGAGGAAUUUUGGAGGAGGAAGUUUCUGUGCAGAGAAACUGAAGAAAGGUCUGUUCCUGCAGACCACGAAUCAAACCCUCCAAACCAUGCAUCGCUUUCAUGCCCAGACUUCCUCUGAAGAUGCCUGGCGUUGCAUAACCAUGGUCUCAACCUGCUUUAUGAAGCACUUCAAGGGGAGAGAAACUGAAGUUUUAAGGGGCUGCCUGUUUCCUCUGGGAGGAGAAGUGUCUCCUGGCCUGGAGGGAAGGUCGCCCGGUGCCUCUCCCGAAGAAGAGCAACACCCCCCACUUCCAGCUAAGGCAGCUGCAACUGAGCAAACCUGCACGUUUCCUGGAACAUUUCAAGAACAACCAGAUCGUUUGAUAUUAGAUUCCAUGUAGUUCAAUGACGACCGAGGUCUCCUUGAGUUAUAAUAUCCAGCUGACGGAUGUGUUGUCUUGUCUGCUUUGUAGUGAGGUUUCUAGGCCAGAUAUCUCAAACUUUUCAGAAUAGCAGAAUAUUGUCAACUCUUUUUCACUGUAAACCUUUUCUCAAUGCUUUUUCUGUCGGAAACCAGUGAACUUUUCUGUUCUGCACCCCCUUUCCUGGCCCUCCGAGGGUGCACCUUCUGUCUUUAGAGGAAAAGUGGCACCCACCUGAGGUCCUUGGCAUAAUGAUUGCCCCCUCGAAAUGGCUCUGUGGAUUGGGCUUGGGACUGGUUAAAUGGGUGCUCUCUUUCCACUGGGCUGUUAACCCGAUGUGUGAUUUUUAGGCAAAUUUGUUUGAUCUUCUUCUGUUAUGGGCUGUCUCAUGCAUGUUGUAGCCUUUUGAAAGCUAAGAAAGACUUUCAGGUAUCUUUGAUAUUCUCCAGUUACAUUGUGAAAAAUGGCUAGGGCUCACCUUUGCUGCCCUACUGUGACAUCUGUGCUUGAUCUCAUGUGGAUUCAGGACCUAUAAAAUGAAGGUGCAGGCUCUUUGGUCACUAGGCUCCUACCUCUGAACAACUGAUCUUAAGCUAUUGUAUUUAAUGUAGUAGAGCCUGACCUUGAAUGCCACAAACCAUUAUGAAAUGAAAAGUUUCACUGGCCCAGAUUAUUUCUGUCAAAGCUAUUUUUAAUAGAAAAUAGGGGGUUUGAUAUUAAAAAAACCUGCAGAAAAUAUCUUUCUUCAGAAAAUACUGAAUUUUCCCUGAAAAACUAACCUCUAAUUGAAAGAUGAUUCGAAACUUUUUAUUCUUAAUGGGAAGUCAAAAUCUUUUCCAGAAGGGGAAAAUAUACAUUUUUUCCCAAGAGCACAAUAGUGAUAAUGCUUGCUAGUUUGAUUCAGAAAAAAAGGUUGAAAUUCACAGCAAUUUUUUUCUUUUUUCUUUUUGCUCAUCUUCAACGUUUGCUAGCACGUAAUUUUCCAUGCCAGUAACUGACUUUGCAAGUCCUCCAAUUAUUCUCUGUCCUUUUCAGAUGCAUUAAAAGCUGUUCUAUCAGUGGUCCUUUUUUUCAGUUGUCUUUUUAUCUUUCUCUGCUUAUUUCUGGACAGAUGUAUAAACACACUUUUUCCACACAUUUCAAUUAUCUUGCUUUUUGUCAAGAUAAUAUUUCCAGGUAACAUAAUUAAUUAAGGCUCCAUUAACCAUUUAAGGAAAAUAUCCCCUAGUGGCAGGCCUUUGGUACUGGCCUACUUGAGUUAAUGAUUGCAAAAGGAUGUAUAAUAUGUAGUGACUUGCUCAGAAAUAAAGGGGGAUUUUUGUCCUUUUUUGUACUCUUU